AUUUUUAAGUUUACGGUCUCCCAAAAUGGAGUAUUUACAUUAUUUUACAGUACAGUUAUGCGGAAUUCGAAAUUCAAACUGUACAGGUGCCUGUCUGUUACAUUAUAUAAUAUAUUAAUUAUAUUAUAUAUAAAUUCCAAAUUAUUAAGACCACGGCGAAACACGUACGAUUUUCUCAAAUUUACUUCGUAAAACAAACUUUAUUUUGAAAUAAAUUUUAUAUUUUUAUCUUGUACGGAACAUAAUACGCGUGGGCAAUAAUUUGACUUUCAAACGCAUAAUUGGUUCAUUGAAAUCUAAUACAAUACUAUUAAAUAUUAUUUUGAGUUUUAAAAAUCAAAAACCAAACUCGUCAAUUUAAAUAUAAACACUCCGUAAAAAAGGAUUGUAUACAUAAUAUGUCCAUGAUGUAAACGGGAUGGACGGUGGGGCGGAAUGAAAUAUUUAAUGUCACGGAGAUUAUCCUUUUCUAUUCUGGAACGUUUUUCUUUCGUGUUUUUUUUUUUUUUUUUUUUAACGAGUUAUCUUCAUUUCGUUACACUAUAUUAUAUUACAAUAUUAUACGUAACCUCAUUUAUAAAUAUCUCUUGUAUUCAACCCUCUUUAAACGAGCUUCUGCAGAUCCGUCACUGUAGAUAGUAUACAUAUACUGAGGUAUACUGCUUUUAACUAAGAGUUAAAAAAAAAUAAUCAUAAAUCAUUUUUUGAAAAAAAUUG